UGGAAAUGGUCUUUGACAGGGAGACUUUGAUAGAAGACGGCUGCUGCUCCCUCUCCAGAGCUCUGCACUAUCCCAUCUGUCCCCAGGGACUUUCCUUCUCCAUCUCUUCAGGAAGAGUCAACCUUUCUGCAGUUAAUGAUGUCCAAAGGGUCCUGGGAAAUCACUUCAUCACAGCUGUAAUGGAGUCUUUGGGAUGAUUUCCAGCAGUGGCCAGCUGUGAGCACCCUAGCAAGCUUUGCCAAAGAAGCACUUCCCAGUCAGGCUGGGCCAAGUCUUGAUCUUACUCCUCCAAUUAGAAGCCACGAGGGGAGAUACGGGCAGAUCUGGAAGAAGACAAGCAUCAUGACCAUCUGCUGAAGGAUGUGUUCCAUUUAAAUAAGAGAUGACUGGGGAGACCAUACCAGACAGAGAUGACUGAUGCUUUCCCCAGGUAUUCACGCUUGCCAAGUCUAUUCAGAAAAGUACUUCAGCAUUCCUGGACUCGUGGUGAACAAGCGGAGCCUCAUUCCCUGUGAUCAUAUAAAAAAGAUGCUUUCAUUUGCUGAACAGCGUGAUGUAGGAUUGUAUCAACCACUGGGCUUCUCAGACAAGGAGGAAGAAUUAUUUUACAUUUUCUGUGGCUUUGACAGAAGAUUUCACAGAAUAUAGCAGGAUAAGUAUAUUUCUUCUCUGUUUCUCUUAGUUAAGCUAGUUCCUGUAUUUAAUCUUUAUCACUAUUAACAAACAGUCAAGUCCCCAUCAACCCAGAUCCUCUUCUACUGACGAUUGUUAUGUCAGGAUAAGAAAGUAAACUGUUAUAUAGCAUGUGUUGAAUUAAAUAAGAACUUUAUUGUCAGAGUCCUCUCCUAUCUAAAUUGUCUCUGUUGUGCACAC